rnacentral:rRNA from 1 species
GAGUCUGCGACCUAUCAGCUAGUUGGCGGGGUAACGGCCCACCAAGGCGAAGACGGGUAGUUGGUCUGAGAGGAUGAUCAGCCACACUGGGACUGAGACACGGCCCAGACUCCUACGGGAGGCAGCAGUAGGGAAUAUUGCACAAUGGAGGAAACUCUGAUGCAGCGACGCCGCGUGAGUGAUGAAGGCCUUUAGGUCGUAAAGCUCUGUAAGGAGGGAAGCUGACGGUACCUCCAAGUAAGGACCGGCUAAAUACGUGCCAGCAGCCGCGGUAAUACGUAUGGUCCCAGCGUUGUCCGGAAUAACUGGGCGUAAAGGGUGUGUAGGUGAUAUAUAUGUCAGGUGUGAAAUCCCUCGGCUUAACCGGGGCAUUGCGCUUGAAACUGUAUAUCUAGAGCGUGUCAGGGGUAAGCGGAAUUCCCGGAGUAGCGGUGAAAUGCGUAGAU